ensembl:miRNA
AAAAGGUUCAUUCGGGUUUUUCCUUAAGAUGUUACAGAAAAACUCGAGCAAACUUUUUGG